rnacentral:rRNA from 1 species
UACGUAGGGUGCAAGCGUUGUCCGGAAUCAUUGGGCGUAAAGCGCGCGUAGGCGGCCUCAUAAGUCCGUUGUGAAAGUCAAAGGCUCAACCUUUGAAAGCCGAUGGAUACUGUGAGGCUAGAGUCCGGAAGAGGCGAGUGGAAUUCCUGGUGUAGCGGUGGAAUGCGCAGAUAUCAGGAGGAACACCGGUGGCGAAGGCGGUUCUCUGGGCAUUAACUGACGCUGAGGAGCGAAAGUGUGGGGAGCGAACAGG